rnacentral:rRNA from 2 species
CAUCAUCCUUUUCAGGUUGACCUCGGAUCAGGUAGGGAUACCCGCUGAACUUAAGCA